GACGAACGCUGGCGGCGUGCUUAACACAUGCAAGUCGAACGGAAAGGCCCAGCUUUUGUGGGGUGCUCGAGUGGCGAACGGGUGAGUAACACGUGAGUAACCUGCCCUUGACUUUGGGAUAACUUCAGGAAACUGGGGCUAAUACUGGAUAGGCGCUCCUGCUGCCUGGUGGGGGGUGGAAAGUUUAGGCGGUUGGGGAUGGUCUCCCGGCUUGUGAGCAUGUUGGUGGGGUAGUGGCUUACCAAGGCUUUGACGGGUAGCCGGCCUGGGAGGGUGGGCGGCCACAUUGGGACCGGGAUACGGCCCGGAGUCCUAGGGGGGGCAACAGUAGGAAAUAUGGCAGAAUGAGCGGGAGACUGAUGCAGCAACGCCGCGGGCGUGGUGUCGGCCUUCGCGUUGUAAACCGCUUUCGCCUGUGACGAAGCGUGAGUGACGGUAAUGGGUAAAGAAGCACCGGCUAACUACGUG
rnacentral:rRNA from 1 species